GAUGAACGCUGGCGGCGUGCCUAAUACAUGCAAGUCGAGCGAACAGACGAGGAGCUUGCUCCUCUGACGUUAGCGGCGGACGGGUGAGUAACACGUGGAUAACCUACCUAUAAGACUGGGAUAACUUCGGGAAACCGGAGCUAAUACCGUAUAAUAUAUUGAACCGCAUGGUUCAAUAGUGAAAGACGGUUUUGCUGUCACUUAUAGAUGGAUCCGCGCCGCAUUAGCUAGUUGGUAAGGUAACGGCUUACCAAGGCAACGAUGCGUAGCCGACCUGAGAGGGUGAUCGGCCACACUGGAACUGAGACACGGUCCAGACUCCUACGGGAGGCAGCAGUAGGGAAUCUUCCGCAAUGGGCGAAAGCCUGACGGAGCAACGCCGCGUGAGUGAUGAAGGUCUUCGGAUCGUAAAAAUCUGUUAUUAGGGAAGAACAAAUGUGUAAGUAAAUAUGCACGUCUUGACGGUACCUAAUAAGAAAGCAACGGCUAACUACGU
rnacentral:rRNA from 1 species